ensembl:lncRNA
UAUACAGCUCUUUUCAUGCAGUGAAUGCACUGCAUAUAUCACAAUCACAGACACUGCUUGUGAUUUUCAUCAGUACAGGGACUGUACAAUGAUGGUAGCUGAACAGACUCAGUUUUGAGUUGACAAAACCAAACCAAUCCAAUCCAAUCCAGCUUUGUUGAUAUCAUGAUGCUGAUCAUCAGCUUUCUCUGUCAACUCAGGCUUUAUCCUGAGUUUAUGGAGCAUGUGCACAUGAAACUGUGACAUCAGUAAUGAACAGCCAAUCACAUGCCUUGAAACUGUGAUUCACUUCUCGUGAGAGAGUCAGUGCGAUUCACUGCCAGAGAAUAACAGAUUGAAAAAUAUGAAGAAUUUAAAUGCACAGCAAGGUCAAAAGAGCUGUCCUUGAAAGAGGACAACUAAAACAAAACUUAUCAGUGCAAGAGAAACUUGUGAAGUUAGUUUAUAUAGUUGAUAAUAUAUAGGUAUAAGAACUCAUAUGUAAUCAUAUUUAAAGCUUUAUCUAUUGAUUCUAAAGCUUAUUUAUAUUCUAUAUUAUCUUUAUAUAUUUACAUUAAUUUAAAAUAAAAGAUGAAUCAUUAUUAUUAAAUUAAAAAAGCUUAUGUAAUGGAUCAAGGCUAAAAUAAAUAUAUAAAUCAUAUAAAAUAUUUAUAAUAAAUAAUCAUUGCUAAAGCCAGAUGAUUUUAUCUUUAAAAAUGUUAUAAAUGGCUGCCCACUGCUCCGGGUGUGUGUUCACGGUGUGUGUGUGCACUUUGAAUGGGUUAAAUGCAGAGCAUGAAUUCUGAGUAUGGGUCACCAUACUUGGCUGUAUGUCACACAGUUGUUAGUAACAUUAUCUGGCUUUGAGAUUGAUCUGAUGUUUUCUCUGAUCAAACAGGAGAUUCUCUUCCUAUCGGCAUCAUUAUUGGUGUUGUUGUUGCUGUCCUCCUGUUGAUUGUCAUCGGUGUUGCUGGGUAUAAGGUGUAUCAGAAAAACAAAGGUGAGAGAGACUCAGAUAAUAGUAUUAUCAUCACUAUUGACUACAUUGCAUGUUUUACACAUCUGUGUGCUAAUAUUUCAUCUCUCUUGUUUUCUGUUUUUCAGGCUUCAAGCCUGUCAAUGCAUCUGAUGAUGGUUCAAACAGCUCAGCUCAUACAGACCCAAGAGGAUAAAGAUGUAAGUGUAUUAUUAUUAUUAUUAUUCAUCAGUGCAGCUGUUUCAUUCAUGUGAAAUCAAUGAAAUGUAAUAUGUUUUUGGCGUUUUAGGAGACCAGAUGAGUCCGAGAAACAUGAUGCUUAUCCUGCUGUCCAUCUUGCUUACAACACAUACACACUUUCUCUUUCUUUCUUUCUAUCUCUCUCUAUGACUCUCUCUCUCACACACACACACACACACACACACUUUCUCUUUCUCUCUCUCUCUCUCUCUCUCUCUCUCUCUCGUGCGCAUGCGUGAGCGUUUGUUGAGUGAGCGUGGAGAGCGCGUGGUGAGUGUGAAUGGUUUCUUUUUUCUUUUUUCAAUUCUUUAUUUAUUUGAUAAUUGUGGUGUAUCGGGUAGUGAAGUA